rnacentral:rRNA from 1 species
CGUAGGGUGCAAGCGUUAAUCGGAAUUACUGGGCGUAAAGCGUGCGCAGGCGGUUGUGCAAGACAGUUGUGAAAUCCCCGGGCUUAACCUGGGAAUUGCAUCUGUGACUGCACGGCUAGAGUGUGUCAGAGGGGGGGUAGAAUUCCACGUGUAGCAGUGAAAUGCGUAGAUAUGUGGAGGAAUACCGAUGGCGAAGGCAGCCCCCUGGGAUAACACCGACGCUCAUGCACGAAAGCGUGGGGAGCAAACAGGAUUAGAUACCCUGGUAGUCCACGCCCUAAACGAUGUCUACUAGUUGUCGGGUCUUAAUUGACUUGGUAACGCAGCUAACGCGUGAAGUAGACCGCCUGGGGAGUACGGUCGCAAGAUUA